CGCUGGCGGCGUGCCUAAUACAUGCAAGUCGAACGCUUCUUUUCUACCGAGUGCUUGCACUCAAUUGAAAAGAGGAGUGGCGGACGGGUGAGUAACACGUGGGUAACCUACCCAUCAGAGGGGGAUAACACUUGGAAACAGGUGCUAAUACCGCAUAAUAGUCGACACCGCAUGGUGUUGAUUUGAAAGACGCUUUCGGGUGUCACUGAUGGAUGGACCCGCGGUGCAUUAGCUAGUUGGUGAGGUAACGGCUCACCAAGGCCAUGAUGCAUAGCCGACCUGAGAGGGUGAUCGGCCACACUGGGACUGAGACACGGCCCAG
rnacentral:rRNA from 1 species